AAAUUGAAGAGUUUGAUCAUGGCUCAGAUUGAACGCUGGCGGCAGGCUUAACACAUGCAAGUCGAACGGUAGCAGGGAGAAAGCUUGCUUUCUUUGCUGACGAGUGGCGGACGGGUGAGUAAUGCUUGGGGAUCUGGCUUAUGGAGGGGGAUAACGACGGGAAACUGUCGCUAAUACCGCGUAAUGUCUAAGGACUAGAGGGUGGGACUUUCGGGCCACCUGCCAUAAGAUGAGCCCAAGUGGGAUUAGGUAGUUGGUGGGGUAAAGGCCUACCAAGCCGACGAUCUCUAGCUGGUCUGAGAGGAUGACCAGCCACACUGGAACUGAGACACGGUCCAGACUCCUACGGGAGGCAGCAGUGGGGAAUAUUGCACAAUGGGGGGAACCCUGAUGCAGCCAUGCCGCGUGAAUGAAGAAGGCCUUCGGGUUGUAAAGUUCUUUCGGUGAUGAGGAAGGGUGGUGUUUUAAUAGAGCAUUACAUUGACGUUAGUCACAGAAGAAGCACCGGCUAACUCCGUGCCAGCAGCCGCGGUAAUACGGAGGGUGCGAGCGUUAAUCGGAAUGACUGGGCGUAAAGGGCACGCAGG
rnacentral:rRNA from 1 species